AGCAAUACGUCAGCGGCAGACGGGUGAGUAACGCGUGGGAACGUACCUUUUGGUUCGGAACAACACAGGGAAACUUGUGCUAAUACCGGAUAAGCCCUUACGGGGAAAGAUUUAUCGCCGAAAGAUCGGCCCGCGUCUGAUUAGCUAGUUGGUGGGGUAACGGCUCACCAAGGCGACGAUCAGUAGCUGGUCUGAGAGGAUGAUCAGCCACAUUGGGACUGAGACACGGCCCAAACUCCUACGGGAGGCAGCAGUGGGGAAUUUUGGACAAUGGACGAAAGUCUGAUCCAGCCAUGCCGCGUGCGGGAAGAAGGCCUUCGGG
rnacentral:rRNA from 1 species